UGGGGGAGUAUUGCACAAUGGGGCGAAAGCCUGAUGCAGCAAUGCCGCGUGAGGGAAGAAGGUUUUCGGAUUGUAAACCUCUGUCCCUGAUGACGAAGUAAGUGACGGUAAUCAGGGAGGAAGCCACGGCUAACUACGUGCCAGCAGCCGCGGUAAUACGUAGGUGGCAAGCGUUGUCCGGAAUUACUGGGUGUAAAGGGAGCGCAGGCGGGAGAGCAAGUCAGCGGUGAAAACUAUGGGCUCAACCCAUAGACUGCCGUUGAAACUGUUUUUCUUGAGUGAAGUAGAGGCAGGCGGAAUUCCGAGUGUAGCGGUGAAAUGCGUAGAUAUUCGGAGGAACACCAGUGGCGAAGGCGGCCUGCUGGGCUUUUACUGACGCUGAGGCUCGAAAGUGUGGGGAGCAAACAGGAUUAGAUACCCUGGUAGU
rnacentral:rRNA from 1 species